CCCUAAUUCAAGUUCAUGUUUUACACAACUUACCUUUGUUAACUUUUAAUCCAUUAUUCUUGUGUUUAUCAACUUCUAAUAUAAUUCUAGAUCACUUCAAGCUCAUAAAAACACUCCCUCCUAUUCCAUAGCUAGGGCAGCCAAAAUUCAAGAGCUCAUACACUUAGGUUUUUGUUCAUUUAAAUCACAAUUCUCACUAAGUUUCAAGUCCUAAACCAUGAAAAUAAAGAGUUUAAUGGAUAUAGGUGCACUAACCUCAAGUGGCA
rnacentral:misc_RNA from 1 species